rnacentral:rRNA from 1 species
CUGACUGGCGCGUGCUUACCAUGCAAGUCGAACGGGAGUAUCAAAGAAGCUUGCUUUUAAGAUACUUUAGUGGCGGACGGGUGAGUAACGCGUGAGGAGCUGUCCUAUGCAGGGGGACAACAGUUGGAAACGGCUGCUAAUACCCCAUAAGCCGAGAGGUAAAAGGAUUUAUCCGGCAAAGGAGGCACUCGCGUCCUAUCAGCUAGUAGGUUGGGUAACGGCCGACCUAGGCGAAGACGGGUAGCCGGUCUGAGAGGGCGAACGGCCACACUGGAACUGAGAUACGGUCCAGACUCCUACGGGAGGCAGCAGUGGGGAAUAUUGGGCAAUGGGGGGAACCCUGACCCAGCGACGCCGCGUGGGUGAAGAAAUCCUUCGGGAUGUAAAGCCCUGUUGUAUGGGAAGAGUAGAAGACGGUACCAUACGAGGAAGCCCCGGCAAACUACGUGCCAGCAGCCGCGGUAAUACGUAGGGGGCAAGCGUUGUCCGGAAUUACUGGGCGUAAAGCGCACGCAGGCUGACUUAUAAGUCGGUAGUCUAAUGCGGAGGCUCAACUUCCGUUUAUCUAUCGAUACUGUAAGACUAGAGWAUGUGAGAGGGGAAGUGGAAAUUCCCCGGUGUAGCGGUGAAAUGCGUAGAUAUCGGGAGGGAACACCAGUGGCGAAGGCGACUUCCUGGCACAAAUACUGACGCUCAUGUGCGAAAGCUAGGGUAGCGAACGGGAUUAGAUACCCCGGUAGUCCUAGCCGUAAACGAUGGAUACUAGGUGUGGGUGUCGCAGGGCAUCCGUGCCGCAGCUAACGCGUUAAGUAUCCCGCCUGGGGACUACGGUCGCAAGACUGAAACUCAAAGGAAUUGACGGGGGCCCGCACAAGCGGUGGRGCACGUGGUUUAAUUCGAUGCAAACCGAAGAACCUUACCUGGGUUUGACAUGCAGGUGGUAGAGAGAAGAGAUUUGAUCGACUCUGCAGUAAUGUAGAGAGCCUGCACAGGUGCUGCAUGGCUGUCGUCAGCUCGUGUCGUGAGAUGUUGGGUUAAGUCCCGCAACGAGCGCAACCCCUAUUGCCAGUUGCUAACAGGAGAGCUGAGCACUCUGGCGAGACUGCCGCCGACAAGGCGGAGGAAGGUGGGGACGACGUCAAGUCAUCAUGGCCCUUAUGGGUAGGGCUUCACACGUCAUACAAUGGUCGGUACAGAGGGUUGCCAAGCCGCGAGGUGGAGCCAAUCCCACAAAGCCGAUCGUAGUCCGGAUCGUAGUCUGCAACUCGACUACGUGAAGUCGGAAUCGCUAGUAAUCGCAGAUCAGCAUGCUGCGGUGAAUACGUUCCCGGGUCUUGUACACACCGCCCGUCACACCAUGGGAGUGGGUUUCACCAGAAGUAGGUAGCUUAACCCUCGGGAGGGCGCUACCACGGGAGAAUCAUGAAUUCUUUU